UCGGUGAUGCCUACGACCGCUGCAGCGAGGUCUCUGCCGAGUACGCCAAGACCUUCUACCUCGCUGAGCCCCUCACUCGUCACUCACUACUCUGUAACUCUGAUGAUGCUAAUCUGUAGUAGUUAAGCCAUCUGUCUCAGCACAUUUAGUCCAAAUUUGGCCAAUCUCAGGGUAUCUAGCCAUCCUUGCCUGCUCCAACAAUUUUUGUUUGCUUCAGUCCCCAAUAUGGUUCGUAGUAGACAAACGGAUAGUAGAAUUUUGCCAUGGGAUAAUUUAUGAUCCCUCAGAAUUGUUGAUUUUUCCCUUGCCAUACAUACAUCACCCUUUGCUUCUGAAACCAAAAGUCCUAUUUCUCGGAUUUAUAAUUUUCGGAGCUUGCAGAUAGUUAAUUGAAGUACACCAAUUGGUUAUAAUUUUGGUUCAUGACCUGCACCAUCUGCAAAUACACAUCUAGUAUCCAAGAAAGUUUCUGUUCUGUCACUCAGGGUCAUACUUACUGCAGCUAGUAGAUAUACCUUCUGUUGGAUUUGAAAUAAACUAAAAAAGUAACAUGAUUUUUCUUAUCUUGUACGUCAUUAGGAGCCAUGAAAAUUAACUAAAAAAGUAAAAAACAAAGGAGAGGGUCCAGUGAGUAGCUGGGUCCCUAGCAACCAAAAGAAAAAAGAGAAAAACAGAGACCCGUUACUUACUAUUAAUUGUCUUAUCUUGUGUUGUGCGUCAUGCAAUUUUCUGUUCAGCUAACUGCAUGACCAAUAUUAACUAUUCAGUAGGCUAUAUUAGUAAUUUGUUUUUUCUUGUUUUGUGCAGUUUGGAGAAAUUCAUGGUUAUUUCCUGUUACGUUUCCCGUUCACACUAAUACCGAUUGAUUUGCACCAUCUAGGGAGGCCUACAUUAUGCAAAAUGUCUAUAUCAGCUAGAGAAGUAGUGGAAAUCAGUAAACAUUAUUAUUCUUAUGCCUUAUCUGAAUAGCUUGAGAAAUUCCUUACAUGGAAUACAUCAUAUAUUUAUCUGUGGUUAAUCCUUCCUUAUUUAAAACAUUUGUUCAUUAAAUGUUGGUGGGCAGGGCAUAUAUACUUGAUUGGGUAUAUGGAAUCUGAAUGUCGGCGCACAUGAUCUUACUAGCUUCUAAAUCCGCUGAGCUGUACCGAUGAUGGUGUGUUUGCUACUCACACAUUUUAUCCAAAGGAUCCUUAUGUCAAAACGUUGCCCACUUCUAGGUUGCUGGUAUGUAUUUUCACACCAUAUGUACGCUUGUGCUUACCCCCAUCUGUCUCGGCACAUUCAGCCCAAAUUUGACCAAAUACUGAAGAUGGUGCACUUGUGGGUGCUACGUGCCAUGCAUCUUGGCCAAUCUCAAGGAAAUAAUCAGUAAAGGCAAUAGUGUUUAGUCGUUCGCCACAGAGAAUCGUUGGUGAUAUUAAUUAGUAUAUCUGUAAGUGCAUCUAGUGCCCCUUAGUGAUUUUGAUGUAUUGAAGACUUAUAGGUUAAGGGACUAAUGUGUUUGUGAGUGUACACAUGCUCUAUAAGUCGAUGAGGAGUUUGAUAUUUGCGAUGAAAGUCGACCCCUAAAGAUGUAUGUCUUCAGCUGAAGACUUCGGUUCUCCUAAAGAUUUUGAAAGUGAUGAAAUUGGUGUGACCUUGAAGACUUGGAUAUUCAUGCGAGGAUUAUGAAGCAUGAAGACUUUUGUUUUUGUGGUUUCAUUUUCUCUUUCUUGAGUCAUAGGAAACACCGUACUAUUAAAGAGGGUCGAGGUAAUACUAAGGAAAGUGAUUUUCAAG
rnacentral:lncRNA from 1 species